rnacentral:rRNA from 1 species
UACGUAGGCAGCAAGCGUUGUUCGGAAUUACUGGGCGUAAAGAGUGUGUAGGCGGUGCUCCAAGUCUGGUGUGAAAUCUCCCGGCUCAACUGGGAGGGUGCGCUAGAAACUGGAAUGCUAGAGGAUGGGAGAGGUAAGCGGAAUUCCUGGUGUAGCGGUGAAAUGCGUAGAUAUCAGGAGGAACACCGGCGGUGUAGACGGCUUGCUAGACCAUAACUGACGCUGAGGCACGAAAGCGUGGGUAGCAAACAGG